UUCACCACAAGUACUCAAGUUUCUUAGACAUGCUUCCGCUCAUUUGCAGAUAUACUCAAUGUCUGUCCAUGCAUUUAUGCAAUGCUCAGUGGCUCACAUGAAUUAAGAGUUAAAUACCCACUGUCUUAACUUUUCAUAGAGCAAGCUAACUUGGGUCGUUUGAUAUGGAAGAACAUUUAGGCGGCUACCUGUGCUUCACCAGCAACAAUGAACUUGAACUAGACUGUGCAGUAUAAAAGAACUGUGACUGCAGCUCCAGCCACAAGACAAGCUCCUACAAAACCAGAUAAUAAACCUGGAUCCCAAGGACCGCACCGACGCAAGGCAUUAUUAUCCCGCAGUAGACGCAUCAUAAUUUCAACAGACAACGUUGCCAUGAAAAUGCUUGUCUUGUUUAUGUUGGUUUUAGCUUCUUAGGAAUAACUACCUGUAUUAUUAAUAAGAUGUUUAAUUGGCAAUGGGUGAAGAUGCUGUGUAUCCUUCAUAGUUUAUUGGCUUAUGUGCUCAUUACAUCUUGCCGCCAGACCUUAUCAAAUUGCUUCCACUCCGCCCAUCUGCUGCCUAUAUAAUCUACUGUAAUGUUUUGAUUAACUAGUGCUCUCCAGGUUAACCCCUGAGGGACACUCCACCAGCUGGUGUACAAUAAAUCCUCAGCUUGUUUUCACCUGCAUCCAGAGUGUCCAGAAUUAUUCCCUACAAAGACAUACCAAAGUUCUGCUAUGCUAGCCAACCUUCAGCCAGCCUCAAAAGCAAGUGACGUUGUUUGUGGAGAAGGCAUGAGUAGGAAAGCCAAGCAAUGUGCUGAUUCAAUGCAUCCCUCAGACAACCUCCGCAGGCAGGAUUCUUAUGGAGCCAGAGAUGUCUUGAAAAUCUUCCCUCCUUGUGGGAAUUCAGCAUUGAAAAUAGCCACCGCCUUCUCUCCGCUCCUGUGGGGUCAAUAGUACUUGAGCACUACUGCCUCUGCAUAGCUGCAGAUAUGAAUUAAGCCUAGAACAGAUCCUGUAGAUCCUUUUCCAUACAUUAAAAAAGAGAAUAUUGCCCAUGGACAAAACUGUUCAUAAAGAGAGUGAAAAAAAGUCUUCCUGAUGACCAAGACAGCUUUUCCUGGAGAGUACAUUCAAACUGUGUAAUUGGGAAACUGUUUCAAUGCAUACGUGGCCAGUUUAAUCUCAAAGAUAAAUUCAUGCAAUAUAUUAAUACUGUACUAUAGAAAUGCCUAGGUUUUGUCAUAUGACUAGGAGCAAAGAGUGCAAAAUUAACAGCAUUACCACUACUAGGGAAGCAAGACGAACUUCAGCUAGUCACAUGACAGACCUUCCAGGAAGGAUGUCAAAAUGAAGUAAUAAAAGCCUAAUACGUGCGAAGCUUGUGUGAUUUUUUUUACAAGGAAAUCUGGCUUUCCUCACAAUACAACUGUCAAAGACUCUUAAGAUUACCACAAGGGAAGAAAUAAUCAGCCUGAAAAUUUCACUGCUCAUGAUUUAAUAUUUGGAGCUGAAUAAAAUCCAUACAGUCACUAAACUUUUAUCCUUUCAGCCUGUCUCACAA